CCUACGGAGGCUGCAGUGGGGAAUAUUGGGCACUGGGCGCAAGCCUGACCCAGCAACGCCGCGUGAAGGAAGAGGGCUUUCGGGUUGUAAACUUCUUUUCUGAGGGACGAAGAAAGUGACGGUACCUCGGGAAUAAGCAACGGCUAACUACGUGCCAGCAGCCGCGGUAAUACGUAGGUGGCCAGCGUUAUCCGGGUUUAUUGGGUGUAAAGGGCGUGUAGGCGGGAAAGAAAUUCAGAUGUGAAAACUCAGGGCUCAACCCUGAGCCUGCAUUUGGAACUGUUUUGCUUGAGUGCUGGAGAGGCAAUCGGAAGUCCGUGUGUAGCGGUGAAAUGCGUAGAUAUACGGAGGAACACCAGUGGCGAAGGCGGAUUGCUGGACAGUAACUGACGCUGAGGCGCGAAAGCGUGGGGAGCAAACAGGAUUAGAUACCCUGGUAGUC
rnacentral:rRNA from 1 species